rnacentral:rRNA from 1 species
UACGGAGGGUGCUAGCGUUGUUCGGAAUUACUGGGCGUAAAGAGUGCGUAGGCGGUUUGGUAAGUUGGGAGUGAAAUCCCGGGGCUCAACCUCGGAAUUGCUUUCAAAACUACCAAGCUAGAGUGUGGUAGGGGAUAGUAGAAUUCCUAGUGUAGGGGUGAAAUCCGUAGAUAUUAGGAGGAAUACCAGAAGCGAAGGCGACUAUCUGGGCCAUUACUGACGCUAAGGCACGAAAGCGUGGGGAGCGAACGGGAUUA